CCUUUUGAAUCUAUAAAAGGUGAUACCUGCCCAGUGAGUUAAUUUUUAACGGCCGCAGUAUUUUGACUGUGCAAAGGUAGCAUAAUAAUUUGUCUUAUAAUUGAAGACUGGAAUGAAGGGUUUUAUGAAAAUAAGACUGUCUCCUCUACACAAAAAAAAAAUUAUUUUAAAAGUUAAAAAACUUUUAUCAAAAAGAGGGACGAGAAGACCCUAUUAAGCUUUAGUAAAUUAUUUUUAUUAUAGCUCUCUAUUAAAUAGAUUUAAAAUAAUAAUAAUUACUUUGAUUGGGGUGAUCAAGGAAUAAAAAAACUUCCUUUACUUAAAAUUAGGAUACUGUAAUGACCCAAUGUUUUUGUUUGUUAAACUAAGUUACUAUAGGGAUAACAGCGUAAUUUCUUUUGAAAGUUCUUAUUAAAAAAGAAGUUUGCGACCUCGAUGUUGGACUAAGAAAACUUUUAGGUGCAGAAGUUUAAAAAGUAAGUCUGUUCGACUUGUAAUUU
rnacentral:rRNA from 1 species